GACAGAGGUGCCGAGCGUUAGGCGGAAUCACUGGGCUUAAAGCGUGUGUAGGCGGAUCGUUAAGUCCCUUGUGAAAUCCCACGGCUUAACCGUGGAACUGCUUGGUAUACUGGCGAUCUUGAGCCACCUAGGGGCAACCGGAACAAAUGGUGGAGCGGUGAAAUGCGUAGAUAUCAUUUGGAACGCCAAUGGUGAAAACAGGUUGCUGGGGGUGUGCUGACGCUGAGACACGAAAGCCAGGGGAGCGAACGGG
rnacentral:rRNA from 1 species